CAGUGGGGAAUAUUGCACAAUGGGCGGAAGCCUGAUGCAGCGACGCCGCGUGAGGGAUGACGGCCUUCGGGUUGUAAACCUCUUUCAGCACGGAAGAAGCGAAAGUGACGGUACGUGCAGAAGAAGCGCCGGCUAACUACGUGCCAGCAGCCGCGGUAAUACGUAGGGCGCAAGCGUUGUCCGGAAUUAUUGGGCGUAAAGAGCUCGUAGGCGGUUUGUCGCGUCUGCUGUGAAAGCCCGGGGCUUAACCCCGGGUGUGCAGUGGGUACGGGCAGACUUGAGUGCAGUAGGGGAGACUGGAAUUCCUGGUGUAGCGGUGAAAUGCGCAGAUAUCAGGAGGAACACCGAUGGCGAAGGCAGGUCUCUGGGCUGUUACUGACGCUGAGGAGCGAAAGCAUGGGGAGCGAACAGGAUUAGAUACCCUGGUAGUCCAUGCCGUAUACGUUGGGCACUAGGUGUGGGGAACAUUCCACGUUUUCCGCGCCGUAGCUAACGCAUUAAGUGCCCCGCCUGGAGAGUACGGCCGCAAGGCUAACACUCAGAGGAAUUGACGGGGGCCCGCACAAGCGGCGGAGCAUGCGGAUUAAUUCGAUGCAACGCGAAGAACCUUACCAAGGCUUGACAUACACCGGACCGGGCCAGAGAUGGUCUUUCCCCCUUGUGGGGCUGGUGUACAGGUGGUGCAUGGUUGUCGUCAGCUCGUGUCGUGAGAUGUUGGGUUAAGUCCCGCAACGAGCGCAACCCUCGUUCUAUGUUGCCAGCACGUGAUGGUGGGGACUCAUAGGAGACUGCCGGGGUCAACUCGGANGAAGGUGGGGAUGAC
rnacentral:rRNA from 1 species